rnacentral:rRNA from 1 species
UACGUAGGUGGCGAGCGUUGUCCGGAUUUACUGGGCGGAAAGAGCGCGCAGGCGGUCGUUCAAGUCGCGUGUGAAAGCCCCCGGCUCAACUGGGGAGGGUCACGCGAUACUGAUCGACUCGAAGGCAGGAGAGGGUAGUGGAAUUCCCGGUGUAGUGGUGAAAUGCGUAGAUAUCGGGAGGAACACCAGUGGCGAAGGCGACUACCUGGCCUGUUCUUGACGCUGAGGCGCGAAAGCUAGGGGAGCAAACGGG